GAUGAAGAACGUAGCGAAAUGCGAUAAGUAAUGUGAAUUGCAGAAUUCAGUGAAUCAUCGAAUAUUUGAACGCACAUUGCGCCCGCCAGUAUUCUGGCGGGCAUGCCUGUUCGAGCGUCAUUACAACCCUCAGGCACCCGGGCCUGGCGUUGGGGAUCGGCGGAAGCCCCCUGCGGGCACAACGCCGUCCCCCAAAUACAGUGGCGGUCCCGCCGCAGCUUCCAUUGCGUAGUAGCUAACACCUAGCCACUGGAGAGCGGCGCGGCCACGCCGUAAAACACCCAACUUCUGAAUGUUGACCUCGAAUCAGGUAGGAAUACCCGCUGAACUUAAGCAUAUCAAUAAGCGGAGGA
rnacentral:misc_RNA from 1 species